GUCUCUGCAGCGCAAUGGAUAGCGCGCGUUGGACUUCUAAUCCAAAGGUCGUGGUUUAGAAUCCCUCUUGGGAUG